CGCCCAGACUCUACGGGAGGCAGCAGUGGGGAAUAUUGCACAAUGGGCGCAAGCCUGAUGCAGCAACGCCGCGUGAGGGACGACGGCCUUUCGGGUUGUAAACCUCUUUUAGUAGGGAAGAAGCGAAAGUGACGGUACCUGCAGAAAAAGCACCGGCUAACUACGUGCCAGCAGCCGCGGUAAUACGUAGGGUGCGAGCGUUGUCCGGAAUUAUUGGGCGUAAAGAGCUCGUAGGCGGUCUGUCGCGUCUGCUGUGAAAACCCGAGGCUCAACCUCGGGCCUGCAGUGGGUACGGGCAGACUAGAGUGCGGUAGGGGAGAAUGGAAUUCCUGGUGUAGCGGUGGAAUGCGCAGAUAUCAGGAGGAACACCGAUGGCGAAGGCAGUUCUCUGGGCCGUAACUGACGCUGAGGAGCGAAAGCGUGGGGAGCGAACAGGAUUAGAUACCCUGGUAGUCCACGCCGUAAACGUUGGGCGCUAGAUGUGGGGACCAUUCCACGGUUUCCGUGUCGCAGCUAACGCAUUAAGCGCCCCGCCUGGGGAGUACGGCCGCAAGGCUAAAACUCAAAGGAAUUGACGGGGGCCCGCACAAGCGGCGGAGCAUGCGGAUUAAUUCGAUGCAACGCGAAGAACCUUACCAAGGCUUGACAUACACGAGAACGGGCCAGAAAUGGUCAACUCUUUGGACACUCGUGAACAGGUGGUGCAUGGUUGUCGUCAGCUCGUGUCGUGAGAUGUUGGGUUAAGUCCCGCAACGAGCGCAACCCUCGUUCUAUGUUGCCAGCACGUAAUGGUGGGAACUCAUAGGAGACUGCCGGGGUCAACUCGGAGGAAGGUGGGGAUGACGUCAAAUCAUCAUGCCCCUUAUGUCUUGGGCUUCACGCAUGCUACAAUGGCCGGUACAAAGGGCUGCAAUACCGCAAGGUGGAGCGAAUCCCAAAAAGCCGGUCUCAGUUCGGAUUGAGGUCUGCAACUCGACCUCAUGAAGUCGGAGUCGCUAGUAAUCGCAGAUCAGCAACG
rnacentral:rRNA from 1 species